UAGUAAGUAAUUAAUUAGCGUUUACUAGAUCAGUCAGCGGGGAUAACUCAGUUGGGAGAGCGUCAGACUGAAGAUCUGAAGGUCAGGUGUUCGAUCCACCUUCACCGCAAUU
rnacentral:tRNA from 1 species